ACGGUGGUGGGGGCGCGGGCCGGCCGCCGGGCCCUGCCGCGGCUCGGGGCCGGGAUCCUGCUGGGGGUCCUGAUCCUGUCGGUAUGGCCGUAC
rnacentral:tRNA from 1 species